CAGUAGCCCAUGCCAAAAAUAAAUAAAUAAAUCUGAUUUUGUUUGUUUCAGUGACUUAAAUUUCAAUUUGGGGAUUUAUCAUGAAUUAUUUUCCUGCAUCAGCAUUUUUUUUAAAACCUCCGAAUAGUUGGUCCAAUCCGGUUUUGACUGUUUGACUCUAAUAAGUAGACAUGCUUUCAUUAGUUGUCACAACACUGACAGAAGUUAUGCAGAAUUCAGAUUAACAACAGAAAUUCUGAGCAAUAUUUGUGCUACAUACUGAAAAGAGUAAUUAUUUGCAUGUUUAUAUUUGUUUUGCAAUUAGCUUUAGCAUGUUUUUUCAUUAUGGCUUGCAUGUUAUGCUGCGUUCACACUCAAUGCGAUUUGCACGUUGCUUUUGCAUUGUUUGUGAAAUUUGCCGUCCAAAGUUUUGUUAAAAACUUGAAGCUCCUGGCCUGUGUUGGAGAAGCUACUGUCAAUACUGUUAUAAUGUAUUACAAUGAGAAAGUAAACACAGCAUUGCUGUAACCUCUAAGUUACCAUAUGGGAUACAGCCUUCUACUCAGAAUGCUGUUUUCAUAUUUAUGAUAUAGUCUUUUAUUUCGACUCUUCUUUUGUCUUUUCUAAGAAGUAGUUUUCCGGCAUUUUAAACAUAGGUCUCACAACUUUGUGUUUAUUAUUCAGAUUAAAAUUUCCCUCAUUUUUCAUAUUUAAGCCAACCAUUAUCACUGCAGAAGUUCAGAUAGCACUACUAUUAUGUUAAAUUUUGCUGUCUUUGCAUUAAUGUUUUUUAGCUUCACUUCUUAUUUUGCAUCAAGAAACAAUAGCAGUAACAACAAUUUGUAAAAUUAACUUCAUACUAUUGCAUAACACUAUUUCAGCAAAUGGGUGUUAAGAUGGUAACAAAUUAGCAUCUAAAAAUUAAGCUGUAUUGUUGUUCUCAUCUUCUUGAAAUUUUCUGUUGCGGUUUAUUUAAUUUGUUUGACGUCAUUUGUAAAGAUUUUAGAUAUGGCUGCAUGAAGUCCCUUGUAACUGCAGAAAUAUUUUUAUGUUUGCGAAUGUGAAGAUAGCUUUUUUUAUGAGAGUUGUAAAAAGUGAUGUCUAUGUAUAUUUUGUAUAUGUGAUGAUAUAAAGUUGAUGACAUGAAGAUAUCAAAACUAGGACAUUUAAUUAAUAUCUAAAUACGCACAAGCUUCCCAAUGUCAAGCUUUUGAAUUCAAAACCGGCUCAAGUCCCCAGCCGGCUUCUUCUUGAUAAUAUGGAAGAACCCAAUCGUAACAAAAAUAACAAUAAUUUCCACAAAAUGGGAAAAAAGUUGAUAAAACACAGGGAGAAGAUCUACAGAUUUGUCAGUCUCUGUGACUUUUUGGUGUUUGGACUAAAGCUUACAUAGAAAAAAGACAAGACAACUGGGUUGAUGAGGAGAGUAAAUUGUGAAGCCACACAAAAAAGUACAAUUUUUACUUUUAUGCAUUAGGGCAAAUUUUAAGUCAUCAGGUCUUUAACAAACUGGUCAACUUCAUAUAAACAACCCUUGAAGUGUUACAGAAAUUCAGCAAAAGCUGGAAUAAUAUUUAAAAACAUUUUGAUGAACAAACAAACCAAACUUCAAAGUCUAAAAAAGAACAGAGAAAAAAAGCCACAUGUUUUCCUAAGUUUUGAACAAAGUCAGCGAAACUUAGAAAUAAACUUUUGUUCAAACCACAAUCUAGAAAACAUGUAUUUGAACAGUGAUACUGAAGCUCCAAAAACAGACGGCAAGAAAUACAGCUCAAACAGCUUGAGGCAAAACAUCCAACACUUGUGACUUUAAAGUCUUUUGUUACAAAUCCAACUUUAAGGAAACUCAUCUUGAAAAUCAGUCAAUUAGCUUUUUUAGAAGACAGCUUAGAAUAAGCAUUCUGGCACAAACAAGUAAAGACUGAAGCGUGAUGGUGAAAAAAGGGCUUCACUGCUGCUCAAUCAUUCUCUCUGCAAAAUAACAAGCCCUUUCCAUACUAGACCAUGUUUACAAAUAAGAACGUUUUCAUAAUUCUUGCUUUGUCAAAUUCAUUCUUGAUUAUUUGUAUGUGAUUUGUAGUCUGUGUGCAUUCAAAUUGUUGUGAUCUGUGCCAGAGUUCACUUGCAGGUACACUUGGUAAAACCUCAGUUAGCCCCGACUUGAGUUCGUAUGAGCUCUCACACAGAAGAAAUUGAACCGUCCAAGGUACAAACUUUGGUGCAGACCAAAUGCAGCAAUGUGAAAGUGCCUUCAGAGGUCAAGACAAAGUUGUAUUGGUGUUAUUACUGCAAAAGCUGGUUGAAAAAUCAAUUCCUACAGUUUAAGUCCUUGUUAAAUAGCCAUUAUUGGUAUGUUGUUUGUUUAUCUGCUGUUUUAUUUAUCAGACGAUGUGUUGUAUGACAUGAUCUAGAAAACAUCAGAAUUGACGAUCAGUGCACUGUUGUUUGGACAUAUUUGUAUUUUGUCCCAAAAGUUAAAAUGAUUAUUCUGCUCUUGCACACAAUGAUGUGUCUGCUACAGGAAAUGAUAUAGAAGAGCCUUUGCUGUCCCUUCUUUGUGGAGGAGUGCAUUUCUCAGGGCUCAAGAACCUUUUUGAAGCAAUGUUUCCUCUUCCUGAAAAAGCUCAACCAUCUUUUUCUUGUCUUUUACAUUAGCCUUAAAAACAGAUCGUCAUACCAUCUCUACGACUCUCUUAUUAACCCAUUUCUUGUAAAUGGUUCCUGGUUCUGCCAAGUCUCCUCAACAGGGGCAGCUACUCUUUGUUUCAGUCUCUUGAGAAAGACGUACUCUUCCUUCCUCCCGCUCCACGUCUCUGUAUAGGAGGGAUUUUUGAGCUUUCAGACGACAUGCCAAAGACAUGAAGAUGGAAUCAACAUUCUGGCUCUCCUUGGGGUCCUUUGCCGAUGUCUCAAACAGCAGCAUGUUGUGGGCAUCAGCAAACUUAAGCGCUGUGUUGGAGGGGACCUGGGGAGACAUCCGGAGACGGACAUGAACAAGGACUGAUGGAUAAAGUCUAAAACCAGGACAAAAUCUGUGCAUGCACACCUGUAUUUGAUCCACAAGGUCGCAUUUGUUUCCCACCAAGACCCGAGGAACCGACGCAGACACUCGAUGGCCGUUACAUUCCUGAAGUUGGGAAAACAAGAUAUGAAUGGCAAAUUUAUACACUUUGAGAACAAAGUUGUUGAAGAGCACCAAAGAAACUGGGACUCCUUAAAAAAAGUUCAAAGUUCAUAAAUUAUGAAGGGACUUGUUCAAUAAUGGAUUCAUAGGCAAAUUUAGAAAGUAAGCUGUUGCUGGACAAAGAAAACAUGAGAUGUGUUUUCUAUUUGUGAAAAAUGUCUGUGGAUGACCAAUGAGAAUGUAUUAAAUUAUUAAUCCAUCACAGAUUUUGACCCCAAAAUGAAAUGAAUUUCUAUAAAAUACUUAAUUCUAAAGAACUUGGAAAAACCUUUGUAAUUAUAGUCUCAUACUGAAGUAGCUCUUUGUCAUCAUAAUUGUAUAUCUUGUCAUUUUGAGAGCUAAAUGAUCAGUAAUGCGACACUGUUAAGUUUAACAAAACAAGGAAGGCACAGAAUUGUCAUGUUAGUCAAAAUGGUGGCAUAUGAGCUUUUGUAUUAUUGCGUUAACUGUGAAAACACUUUCAAGCCCCACUCCAACCGUAUUUUUUCUAUAUAAAUGAAUUCCCAGUGGUAUUUCAGUUAUGAUUAUGUAGUUUUUCUGCAAAAAUAAAAAAAUCCUGUGUUGUUUCUCUAGGAAAUUUUCUCCAGAGCAACAGGAGCUCAUUUGAAAUUCGCCUCUUGAGUUUUUGGCAGGACUGUUGGUAGGGAAGUUAGCCUCUACUAAUUUCCCUUCAACCCUUUCCUCACACUCUCUCCUGUUAGCUUAUAGCACCUCACAAUCCCAAGCUAACAAGUAUAGAGCAAUAUCGGAGCUACCCAGCCAUACAGUUCUGAGCCAGAUGGCAGCUCAGGGGAGGAAAACAAAGAUCUGUUUGUCUGCAAGUGGAUGCUUAAGAGUUGUAGCGGAGCAGGGAGGCUUUAGCCUGCCCAUGGCAUUUGUUGCAUCGCAAACCCAAGCUUUUUCGAAUUGCAGGUUUUCAUCUGGUCCUGAUCCAACACAAAUUAAAUAAAGAAAUACUCAGAAAUGCAGUUUUGAUCUUAAAUUCUUUGAUAUAUAUCCUCCAUCACGAGAAAAAUGCUACAAGAACAUGUUAAAAACACAAUUUUCACUGGAGUGGAUCUUUAAGUGCUUUAACAAUGUGCUUAAGUCUUGAACAAAAUUCAAACCUCAAUCCAUGUCUGCAGGUUACGAUAGGAAGCCAUGUUGGUGACAUCAUACACAAAGACCACUGCAUGCACGUUUCUGUAGUAGUGCUCCACCAUGGACUUCCGGAAACGUUCCUGGCCUGCCGUGUCCCACACUUGUACCUGUAGAAACAUGAUGGUGGUGCAAAUUUAUUUUUGUAGCCAGUAAGCCAAACAGCAAAAACAGAGGCACAAAAACAGCAGUUUUAAUAUUUAACUUUUUACAUCAUUUUUCACAUCUAACACUAACCCUUUUUUAGAUCACUUGUUUAUGUCAUCUAUAAUGAUUAUUUUGUAAAUGUAUAUUUGUGAAAUCUGCCUAUCAAAUAUGAUAUUUUACUUUGUUUCUUCUGGGUUUAAUCUGUGGGGUGUUGUUUUUAUUUUAUUGUUUUAAAUGUUCAUAAAUUUGAAAGUCUUUAUUUUCUAAAUGAAUUUUGAAAUAAGAUGUUAUAAAAAAAGGUCAUCAUUAGGGUUGGAAAGAGUCCACGGCAUUAAUCUGAAAAUAUGUUUCACCAAAAAUUGCAAAAUUUGUAGCGAAGUGUUGAAGAUGUUUUCAAAAUAUGUUAAUCACAGGAGUGUUGCCCAGUUGGCAUAAUCUUCCAUAAAUUCAAUGUUGCACUUUUU